rnacentral:rRNA from 1 species
UAAUACCAGCACCUCGAGUGGUCAGGACGUUUAUUGGGCCUAAAGCAUCCGUAGCCGGCUCUGCAAGUCUUCGGUUAAAUCCACCUGCUCAACAGAUGGGCUGCUGGAGAUACUACAGAGCUAGGGAGUGGGAGAGGCAGACGGUAUUCAGUGGGUAGGGGUAAAAUCCUCUGAUCCAUUGAGGACCACCAGUGGCGAAGGCGGUCUGCCAGAACACGUUCGACGGUGAGGGAUGAAAGCUGGGGGAGCAAACCGGAUUAGAUACCCGGGUAGUCCCAGCUGUAAACGAUGCAAACUCGGUGAUGCAUUGGCUUAUGGCCAAUGCAGUGCCGCAGGGAAGCCGUUAAGUUUGCCGCCUGGGAAGUACGGACGCAAGUCUGAAACUUAAAGGAAUUGACGGUAUCGU